rnacentral:rRNA from 1 species
UACGAGUGCCCCGAGCGUUAUCCGGAAUUAUUGGGCGUAAAGGGUGUGUAGGCGGUUUUGUUAGUCUUGUGUUAAAGCUCCCGGCUUAACCGGGAAAGUGCAUGAGAUACGGCAAAACUAGAGGAUGCGAGAGGUAUGCGGAACUCAUAGUGUAGGGGUGAAAUCCGUUGAUAUUAUGGGGAACACCAAAAGCGAAGGCAGCAUACUGGCGCACUCCUGACGUUGAGACACGAAAGCGUGGGUAGCGAAUGGG